GGUGUAGUCAAAUGGCUUUGGUUUCUUGUCCUUGAUCACUCCUUCAAAGCAGCAUAAACCCAUAUCACUCUCCCUGGAACUUCUGUAGGCUUGGCCUUUGCGGGAGCGGCCGUUGGAUUUGAUGACGUAGUAGCAGUUGGAAGAGAGCGGGCGAUCGAGAACGGGGACGAACCAUACCUUCCUAACCUUCAUGGUCAAUUCAUGGUCUCUGCCGUAAUCGGACAUAUCGUGGAACACGCUGAGGAUCUUGUCCUGAGGGAAAG
rnacentral:lncRNA from 1 species